AGUGAACGCUGGCGGUAGGCCUAACACAUGCAAGUCGAACGGCAGCACAGUAAGAGCUUGCUCUUACAGGUGGCGAGUGGCGGACGGGUGAGGAAUACAUCGGAAUCUACUUUUUCGUGGGGGAUAACGUAGGGAAACUUACGCUAAUACCGCAUACGACCUACGGGUGAAAGCAGGGGAUCUUCGGACCUUGCGCGAUUGAAUGAGCCGAUGUCGGAUUAGCGAGUUGGCGGGGUAAAGGCCCACCAAGGCGACGAUCCGUAGCUGGUCUGAGAGGAUGAUCAGCCACACUGGAACGGAGACACGGUCCAGACUCCUACGGGAGGCAGCAGUGGGGAAUAUUGGACAAUGGGCGCAAGCCUGAUCCAGCCAUACCGCGUGGGUGAAGAAGGCCUUCGGGUUGUAAAGCCCUUUUGUUGGGAAAGAAAAGCAGCAGGUUAAUACCCCGCUGUUCUGACGGUACCCAAAGAAUAAGCACCGGCUAACUUCGUG
rnacentral:rRNA from 1 species